UUAAGUUCAGCGGGUAUCCCUACCUGAUCCGAGGUCAAACUGGGGUGUGACUUGAUGGACGCUGGACCGCCGUGGCCUCGAGAAGCGCAAUGUGCUGCGCGGGAGGCGGGCUGGUCCGCUGCCAAUACCUUUGGGGCGAGUCCGCGCACGCGGCGGGACAGACGCCCAACACCAAGCAGAGCUUGAGGGGGUAAAUGACG
rnacentral:misc_RNA from 1 species